rfam:Triticum urartu cultivar G1812 contig361174, whole genome shotgun sequence.
CAUAUACUUUCUUCGUUCGAAAAAACUUGUGCCAAGCUUUUUCCUUAAAAUGGAUGUCUCUAGCACUAAGUUGGUGCUAGAUACAUCCAUUUGAGGGACAAGCUUUUUCAGACGGAGGGAGUAAUAG